UACGUAGGGUGCGAGCGUUGUCCGGAAUUAUUGGGCGUAAAGGGCUCGUAGGCGGUUUGUCGCGUCGGGAGUGAAAACCUUGGGCUUAACUCAGGGCUUGCUUUCGAUACGGGCAGACUAGAGGUAUGCAGGGGAGAACGGAAUUCCUGGUGUAGCGGUGAAAUGCGCAGAUAUCGAGGAGGAACACCGGUGGCGAAGGCGGUUCUCUGGGCAUGAUCUGACGCUGAGGAGCGAAAGUGUGGGGAGCGAACAGG
rnacentral:rRNA from 1 species